UGGGGAAUAUUGGACAAUGGGCGAAAGCCUGAUCCAGCCAUGCCGCGUGUGUGAAGAAGGUCUUCGGAUUGUAAAGCACUUUAAGUUGGGAGGAAGGGCAGUAAGCGAAUACCUUGCUGUUUUGACGUUACCGACAGAAUAAGCACCGGCUAACUCUGUGCCAGCAGCCGCGGUAAUACAGAGGGUGCAAGCGUUAAUCGGAAUUACUGGGCGUAAAGCGCGCGUAGGUGGUUCGUUAAGUUGAAUGUGAAAGCCCCGGGCUCAACCUGGGGGCUGCAUCAUAAACUGGCGGGCUAGAGGAGGGCAGAUGAUGGUGGAAGUUCCUGUGUAGCGGUGAGAUGCGUAGAUAUAAGAAGGAACACCAGUGGCGAAGGCGACCACCUGGGAUCAUACUGACACUGAGGAGCGAAAGCGUGGGGAGCAAACAGG
rnacentral:rRNA from 1 species